rnacentral:rRNA from 1 species
UACGUAGGUGACCAGCGUUGUCCGGAUUUACUGGGCGUAAAGGGCUCGUAGGCGGCCAACUAAGUCGGAUGUGAAAUCCCCAGGCUUAACUUGGGAACUGCAUCCGAUACUGGAUGGCUUGAAUCCGGGAGAGGGAUGCGGAAUUCCAGGUGUAGCGGUGAAAUGCGUAGAUAUCUGGAGGAACACCGGUGGCGAAGGCGGCAUCCUGGACCGGCAUUGACGCUGAUGAGCGAAAGCCAGGGGAGCAAACGGG